rnacentral:rRNA from 1 species
CCUACGGGAGGCUGCAGUGGGGAAUAUUGGACAAUGGGCGAAAGCCUGAUCCAGCCAUGCCGCGUGUGUGAAGAAGGCCUUCGGGUUGUAAAGCACUUUCAGUGGGGAAGAAAGCCUUGGGGCUAAUACCCUCGAGGAAGGACAUCACCCACAGAAGAAGCACCGGCUAACUCCGUGCCAGCAGCCGCGGUAAUACGGAGGGUGCGAGCGUUAAUCGGAAUUACUGGGCGUAAAGCGCGCGUAGGCGGUCUGAUAAGCCGGUUGUGAAAGCCCCGGGCUCAACCUGGGAACGGCAUCCGGAACUGUCAGGAUAGAGUGCAGGAGAGGAAGGUAGAAUUCCCGGUGUAGCGGUGAAAUGCGUAGAGAUCGGGAGGAAUACCAGUGGCGAAGGCGGCCUUCUGGACUGACACUGACGCUGAGGUGCGAAAGCGUGGGUAGCAAACAGGAUUAGAUACCCUGGUAGUC